rnacentral:rRNA from 1 species
UACGUAGGGGGCAAGCGUUGUCCGGAUUUAUUGGGCGUAAAGAGCGUGUAGGCGGCCUGACAAGUCUGCUGUGAAAACUCGAGGCUCAACCUCGAGAUGUCGGCGGAAACUGUCUGGCUAGAGUCCGGAAGAGGAGAGUGGAAUUCCUGGUGUAGCGGUGAAAUGCGCAGAUAUCAGGAAGAACACCGGUGGCGAAAGCGCUCUGCUAGGCCGCAACUGACACUGAGGGACGAAAGCUAGGGGAGCGAAUGGG